UAGGGAAUCUUCGGCAAUGGACGAAAGUCUGACCGAGCAACGCCGCGUGAGUGAAGAAGGUUUUCGGAUCGUAAAACUCUGUUGUUAGAGAAGAACAAGGACGUUAGUAACUGAACGUCCCCUGACGGUAUCUAACCAGAAAGCCACGGCUAACUACGUGCCAGCAGCCGCGGUAAUACGUAGGUGGCAAGCGUUGUCCGGAUUUAUUGGGCGUAAAGCGAGCGCAGGCGGUUUCUUAAGUCUGAUGUGAAAGCCCCCGGCUCAACCGGGGAGGGUCAUUGGAAACGGGGAGACUUGAGUGCAGAAGAGGGGAGUGGAAUUCCAUGUGUAGCGGUGAAAUGCGUAGAUAUAUGGGGGAACACCAGUGGCGAAGGCGGCUCUCUGGUCUGUAACUGACGCUGAGGCUCGAAAGCGUGGGGAGCAAACAGG
rnacentral:rRNA from 1 species